rnacentral:rRNA from 1 species
AGCAGCAGCCGCGGUAAUACGUAGGGUGCGAGCGUUAAUCGGAAUUACUGGGCGUAAAGCGUGCGCAGGCGGUUAUAUAAGACAGAUGUGAAAUCCCCGGGCUUAACCUGGGAACUGCGCUUGUGACUGCACAGCUAGAGUAUGGCAGAGGGGGGUGGAAUUCCACGUGUGGCAGUGAAAUGCGUAGAGAUGUGGAGGAACACCGAUGGCGAAGGCAGCCCCCUGGGCCAAUACUGACGCUCAUGCACGAAAGCGUGGGGAGCAAACAGGAUUAGAUACCCCCGUAGUCCCUGUCUCUUAUAA